UAAGGGAGGACAUUAUGUUCCAGGUGCAUCUCAUUGUUUUAUCAGGUCUGAAUACACAGUGUCAGCUCCUUCACUGCUCUUUCCUAGUGGACAACAGUCACUGAUUUAACAUUCACGUCGCGGGGGCCUGGAGCCUAUCCCAGGAGGCUUAGGGCAUGAGGCGGGGUACACCCUGGACAAGGAGAAAACCGGAGUACCCGGAGGAAACCCACCAAGCACGGGGAGAACAUGCAAACUCCAUGCACACAGAGACGGGAAUCAAGCCUGGCCGGGAAUCGGAUCCGGACCCUGGAGGUGCAAGGCGACAGUGCUAACUCCAGUACUACACCACCGUGCCGCCCAGUGUGACCUUCACAGUGUUCCUGAAGUGUUCAUAUCAGUUUGUGCCAACCUGUGAGUAGAUCAGAUUACUGGUUCCAGCUACAGAAUCACCUAGAACAAAAUCG